AUUGAACGCUCGCGGCAGGCUUAACACAUGCAAGUCGAGCGAGCGGCGGACGGGUGAGUAAUGUCGGGGAAACUGCCUGAUGGAGGGGGGUAACUACUGGAAGCGGUAGCUAAUAACGCAUACCAUCAGAUGUGCCACGAUGGGAUUAGCUAUUAGGUGGGGUAAUGUCUCACCUAGGCGACGAUCCCUAGCUGGUCUGAGAGGAUGACCAGCCACACUGGAACUGAGACACGGUCCAGACUCCUACGGGAGGCAGCAGUGGGUAAUAUUGCACAAUGGGCGCAAGCCUGAUGCAGCCAUGCCGCGUGUGUGAAGAAGGCCUUCGGGUUGUAAAGCACUUUCAGCGAGGAGGCGUUACUCGCAGAAGAAGCACCGGCUAACUCCGUGCCAGCAGCCGCGGUAAUAC
rnacentral:rRNA from 1 species